rnacentral:rRNA from 1 species
UACGGGGGGAGCAAGCGUUGUUCGGAUUCAUUGGGCGUAAAGGGUGCGUAGGUGGUGAUGCAAGUCUGGUGUGAAAUCUCGGAGCUCAACUCCGAAAUUGCACCGGAUACUGCGUGACUCGAGGACUGUAGAGGAGAUCGGAAUUCACGGUGUAGCAGUGAAAUGCGUAGAUAUCGUGAGGAAGACCAGUUGCGAAGGCGGAUCUCUGGGCAGUUCCUGACACUGAGGCAGCGAAGGCCAGGGGAGCAAACGGG